CAUUACUCCAUCCACAGAGCCUUAUCCGUGGAGGUAUAGCUUUACUUUUCCAUUUUAUGUGCGAGUGUGUGUGUGUGUGUGUGUGAUAAUGUAACAGAGCCUUUACAGUUAUGCUGGGUAAUGCCCAUCACAGAAUCAAUUCUUGUUUGCAGGAAUUCAAGACACUAAGAUAUGAUUAUUGUCAAGAUGAUAAGUUGCUCUGUCAUGGUAGACAUUUUAGUUUUCUAAAAACAUUUUGAUCAUCUCCUGUGAACAGAAGUUGAUGUUCAGUAACUGUGAACUACCAUGGACCAUCUCAUUAACGAUAUUUUUGAAUGAACUGCAGAAAUUGCCAUAGCUUUUUUUUCCUAAUCUCUGUGCAGAGACAUCCAUGUCAUUCAUCAUUUCCAUGUCCAAAUGCUUCUUUUUCUUGCCAAUCACUUGCUCAUCUUUUCCAAUAAUGUGGGUUUGCUUGUGAAUAAGAGCCAACGUAUUAUCACAAUAUAUGGUUAGUGUGUAGAAAUUCAGAGCAAAUUGGGAGCUGACAGAACUGGUUCAUGCUAACUCAUGUAAAACAAAUAACAGCUAAAAUUACUAUCAAACAGGAGCGUCUGUGAUGAAGGCUUCAAAAUUGUCAAACUCACACUUGAGUUUGAUACUUGAGUUUGAUUUUGAGUAAUCUGUGGAUCUUAAUGGAUGUGUUCAGUUUUUCUUUUUUUUUUUUUUUUGUUCGUUUUUUUAAUGAAUCAUAGAUUAAGAGGUUUUAAUGGAGGGUUAAUGUUUAAGUUAACUGGCACGUGUUUGACUGAAUGAACGAAUUGACUUCUCAACUUUAAUGUCUUUGUUGAUUGAAUAAGAGUUAACAGGGUUUCUCAUUCAUUUCAGCAUGCCCUGUGUCCAUCUCUGACUGCAGAGGUUCCAGGUGGAAUGGAAUGGGAAUAAAUGAAUGGAAUAAAAAAGUUAAGUUGAACCAAAGAGAAUGGAAUGGAACAGAAUCAAAUGGAAUGGAGUUGAGUAGCAUGGAACAGAAAGGAAAAAAAGUGGAUUAAAUGAAACAUAAAACAAAAUUAUAGAAUAAACCAAAUAAAUUAAGAAUUUACCAUUAGAUGGCAUUACAUUUCUUUAUGGAGUACACUCAUGCCUUCAACAGACUGCAAUUCUGAUCAGUUAUUUUUGGAUUAAGCACCCUAUUUGCUCAGUGAUUUUAAGAAAUUAUAUUGAAAAGCGUCAUUAUUAAUGAAUUUUAAUGGCAUUCCAAAACUUCUCAGAUGCAAGUCUGGGUUAUAACGCAAUAGAAAAA